UGAAACACGGACCAAGGAGUCUAGCAUGUGCGCGAGUCAUUGGGAUUUGAUUUAAUCGAACUAGACCCAGAGGCGCAACGAAAGUGAAAGGCGGCGUCCUCGCGACCCGCCACCAGGGAGGAUGCGUGCGCGUCUACGAACGCGUCGCCGCACUCCCGAGGCGUUUCGAGAAAGUCACCGUGCGAUUAUCGAGACGCACUGAGAGCGUACACGCUGGGACCCGAAAGAUGGUGAACUAUGCCUGGUCAGGUCGAAGUCAGGGGAAACCCUGAUGGAGGACCGAAGCGAUUCUGACGUGCAAAUCGAUCGUCGGAACUGGGUAUAGGGGCGAAAGACUAAUCGAACUAUCUA
rnacentral:rRNA from 1 species